GGGGGGGGGCAAGCGUUGUUCGGGAAUUACUGGGGCGUAAAGGGCGCGCAGGCGGCCCGGCCAGUCCUACGUGAAAUCCCACAGCUCAACUGUGGAACUGCGUGGGAUACUGCCAGGCUUGAGUCCCGGGAGAGGAGAGUGGAAUUCCCAGUGUAGCGGUGAAAUGCGUAGAUAUUGGGAGGAACACCGGUGGCGAAGGCGGCUCUCUGGACCGGCACUGACGCUGAGGCGCGAAAGCUAGGGGAGCAAACGGGAUUAGAUACCCCGGUAGUCCUAGCCCUAAACGAUGAGCACUUUGUGUGGCGGGUAUCGACCCCUGCCGUGCAGAAGCUAACGCAUUAAGUGCUCCGCCUGGGGAGUACGGUCGCAAAGGCUG
rnacentral:rRNA from 1 species